rnacentral:rRNA from 1 species
AUUGAACGCUGGCGGCAGGCCUAACACAUGCAAGUCGAGCGGCAGCGGGAAAGUAGCUUGCUACUUUUGCCGGCGAGCGGCGGACGGGUGAGUAAUGCCUGGGAAAUUGCCCAGUCGAGGGGGAUAACAGUUGGAAACGACUGCUAAUACCGCAUACGCCCUACGGGGGAAAGCAGGGGACCUUCGGGCCUUGCUCGAUUGGAUAUGCCCAGGUGGGAUUAGCUAGUUGGUGAGGUAAUGGCUCACCAAGGCAACGAUCCCUAGCUGGUCUGAGAGGAUGAUCAGCCACACUGGAACUGAGACACGGUCCAGACUCCUACGGGAGGCAGCAGUGGGGAAUAUUGCACAAUGGGGGAAACCCUGAUGCAGCCAUGCCGCGUGUGUGAAGAAGGCCUUCGGGUUGUAAAGCACUUUCAGCGAGGAGGAAAGGUUGGUGCCUAAUACGUAUCAACUGUGACGUUACUCGCAGAAGAAGCACCGGCUAACUCCGUGCCAGCCGCCGCGGUAAGAC